rnacentral:rRNA from 1 species
GUCGAGAAUCAUUCACAAUGGGGGAAACCCUGAUGGUGUGACGCCGCGUGGAGGAUGAAGGUCUUCGGAUUGUAAACUCCUGUCAUGUGGGAGUAAAGCCGGGUGUUAAAUGCAUGCCGGUCUGAGAGUACCACAAGAGGAAGGGACGGCUAACUCUGUGCCAGCAGCCGCGGUAAUACAGAGGUCCCAAGCGUUGUUCGGAAUCACUGGGCGUAAAGGGUGCGUAGGCGGCGCGGAAAGUCAGGGGUGAAAUCCCGGAGCUCAACUCCGGAACUGCCUUUGAUACUCCCGCGCUUGAGAACUGGAGGGGAGACCGGAAUUCACGGUGGAGCAGUGAAAUGCGUGGAUAUCGUGAGGAACACUAGUGGCGAAGGCGGGUCUCUGGACAGUAUCUGACGCUGAGGCACGAAGGCCAGGGGAGCGAACGGGAUUAGAUACCCUUGUAGUCC